AUUAAAACACUCGUUCCCGUACGAUGAUCGAAGUUAAGCAACGUCGUACCUGAUUAGUACUUAGAUGGGUGACCGUUUGUAAAUACCAGAUGCUGUAA